rnacentral:snRNA from 1 species
GAGACUAUGUGUAUAUGUGUGUUU